UGUGUACUCCCUCCGUUCCAAAAUACUUGACUUCCAUUUGUCCAAAAGUGGAUGUACCUAUAUACUGAAACAUGUCUAGAUACAUCUAUAUUUUGACAAAUAGAAGGCAUGUAUUGUGGAAUGGAGGGAGUAGAAU
rnacentral:pre_miRNA from 1 species